rnacentral:rRNA from 1 species
CGGAUCUCGAAAGCCUGUCCCAGUUCGGACUGGAGUCUGCAACCCGACUCCACGAAGUUGGAUUCGCUAGUAAUCGCGCAUCAGCCAUGGCGCGGUGAAUACCGUUCCCGGGCCUUGUACACACCGCCCGUCAAGCCAUGGGAGCCGGGGGGCGCCUGAAGUCCGGGACCGCGAGGACCGGCCUAGGGCGAAACUGGUAACUGGGGCUAAGUCGUAACAAGGUAUC